AUCAAGCUGACGAGUCCCAAACAGGACGAAACGCGUGUCCUGGAU
rnacentral:hammerhead_ribozyme from 1 species